rnacentral:rRNA from 1 species
GACGAACGCUGGCGGCGUGCUUAACACAUGCAAGUCGAACGGAAAGGCCUCUCUCGGGGGGUACUCGAGUGGCGAACGGGUGAGUAACACGUGAGUAACCUGCCCUUGACUUUGGGUUAACUCCAGGAAACUGGGGCUAAUACCGGUUAGGAGCGCGUGCUGCAUGGUGGGGGUUGGAAAGUUUCGGCGGUUGGGGAUGGACUCGCGGCUUAUCAGCUUGUUGGUGGGGUAGUGGGUUACCAGGGCGUUGACGGGUAGCGGCACUGAGAGGGUGACCGGCCACAUUGGGACUGACAGGCGGCACCGGCUCGUACGGGUGGCAGCAGUGGGGAAGCUUGCUCCAUGGGUGCCGGCCUGAUGCAGCAACGCCGUGUGCGGGAUGGCGGCUUUCGGGUUGUAGACCGCUUUCGCUCAUGACGAUGCUUUGUGUGACGGUAGUGAGUAAAGAAGCACCGGCUAACUACGUG